rnacentral:rRNA from 1 species
GAUGAACGCUGACAGAAUGCUUAACACAUGCAAGUCGAUGGGGAAGUGGUGCUUGCACCAUGGCAACCAUGGCGGACGGGUGAGUAACGUGUAAGGGACUUACCUGCAGGACUGGGAUAACAGGGGGAAACUCCUGACAAGACCGGAUAAUGUCAUGGAGCUGCAUGGCUUUAUGAUGAAAGGAGACGCCUGCGGAGAGCCUUGCGUCCUAUUAGCUAGUUGGUGAGGUAAUGGCUCACCAAGGCGAAGAUAGGUAGCCGGCCUGAGUGGGUGGACGGCCACAAGGGGACUGAGAUACGGCCCUUACUCCUACGGGAGGCAGCAGUGAGUAAUAUUGGACAAUGGGGGCAACCCUGAGCCAGCAAUUCUGUGUGCACGAAGAAGGUUUUCGGAUUGUAAAGUGCUUUCAGCAGGGAAGAAGUAAGUGACGGUACCUGCAGAAGAAGCGACGGCUAAAUACGUG